rnacentral:piRNA from 1 species
UAGUUAGAGACGGCCCUAGGAUUUC